rnacentral:lncRNA from 1 species
AGGUUUAAGGAAAGAAGCCAUCUCCAUAACAUAAAAGUGCAAGGUGAAGCAGCAAGUGCUGAUGGGGAAGCUGCAGCAAGUCAUCCAGAAGAUCUUGCUAAGGGUAUGCACAGAUGUGGAAACAGGAACUGAUGUGUCCAUUACACCACUAGGACAGAGGCCAGAACAAUGAAGAAACCAAAUACUUGGAAGAGGGUAGAGAUAAUGAAUGGAGUCCAAGAGCCCUGAUUGUGCCAUAAAUGUCCAGAUAAUUCCAUACCUGAGGAUUAUGUGGUUUGUAAACUUGGCACUUAGAAGAACCAAUAAAAUCAUGUUAUAGUUUC